AGUCCUAGCCGUAAUUUUACGUUGUACACUAGGUGCUUCUAUUUAAAUAGGAGUGCCGUAGCUAACAAGGUCUUAAGUGUACCGCCUGAGGAGUAUGCCCGCAAGGGUGAAACUCAAAGAAAUUGACGGGUCCCCGCACAAGUGGUGGAGCAUGUGGUUUAAUUCGAUGAUACGCGAAAAACCUACUUACCUGGGUUUGAAUUGUAAGAUGAAUGAUUUAGAGAUAAGUCAGACCGCAAGGACGUUUUACAUAGGUGCUGCAUGGCUGUCGUCAGCUCGUGUCGUGAGAUGUUGGGUUAAGUCCCGCAACGAGCGCAACCCUCACCCUUUGUUGCUACCGAGUAAUGUCGGGCACUCUUAGGGGACUGCGGCUACGUUCAAGUAGGAGGAAGGUGGGGAUGAUGUCAAGUCCUCAUGGCCCUUAUGUCCAGGGCUACACACGUGCUACAAUGGCAAGUACAAAGAGAAGCGAGACCGCGAGGUGGAGCAAAACUCAAAAAAGUUGCCUCAGUUCGGAUUGGAGUCUGAAACUCGACUCCAUGAAGUUGGAAUCACUAGUAAUCGUAGAUCAGAACGCUACGGUGAAGUUACGUUCCCGGGGAUUGUACACACCGCCCGUCACGCCAUCGGAGUUGGUUUUACCUGAAGUCGUUAGCCUAACCGCAAGGGGGGCGGCGCCGAAGGUGGGACUGAUGAUGAGGGUGAAGUCGAAUAACAAGGCAGCCGUACCGGAAGGUGUGGCUGGA
rnacentral:rRNA from 1 species